ACCUUGACGACAGCAGGCUAAACAUAGCAACAUAUGCUCACUAUCUGGUCGGAGCUGUACUGGUAGGAGGUGCAGUGUAACUGUGUUCCGUAUUUACCUCUUUGGUACACAAGGAGUCCCAGCGUUCAGUGAUCUACGAUGUCUACAGCAACUCCACCUCCUAAAGGCAGCAUGGCUGACAACCCCCCUCCUCCACCACCAUACUGCGAACCUGGAACGGUUCCACAACUAAUGCCCCAGCAGCAGCAACAGCAGCAGCUGAACGUUACCACAGUCAACAUGGGUCUUCACGGAGCCCUUGUCAUGUUUCCAAGGGUACCAAUAAGCCUCACUUGCCAGUUUUGUCAAGCAUCGAUCGUGACGUCGGUGGAAAUGGUCUACGGCGACGCAACCUGGCGAGCAGCAUGCAUUUUUUGCUUCUUUCUAGGUAUUAUCGGCUGUUUCAUUCCGUUGUGCAUGGAGUCUACCCAAGACGCCGUUCACAAGUGUCCAAACUGCAAGGUCGUUCUGGGAACAAACCCGGGACAGUUCUGCUGAAAGGCGCGGUUUGCGAGAAGAUAUUGUAUAAGACCAUACAUACUAAGCUUUCAUUCCUCUGUUUCCGAAACAGAAAUCCCAACGCGUAGGAAGGAAAUAAACUGACGGCCAAAAGAAACGUUACCAACGAUACUUCUAGGAUAAAAUAUGACCAACACAAUUUGAAGCAGCAAUAACAAUUGUAUUGUAGAAAUUCAUCAUUCAGAACUGUAAAAUGCUAAU